AGCGCGCCGAGCCGUAAAGCGAGGGCGGCGGGGUUCCCCCUUCCCCCCCUUCCGCGCCCGAACGGCUGCGGCGGUUGGGCCGGGCAGAGGCAGCGGUGGCGGCAGGGCGGUUGGGAGCGCGGCUGUGGYGGGGGGCGCCCGCUUCGCCCCGCCGGGGGGUCCCGUCAGCAGGGCCGGUGCGCCCCCGCGGGAAGGGAGCUCCCUGCGGUUCAGUGCUGCCUGCAGAUGCCCACGGGUAGCAGAAUGCGGGUCCCCGCACCAGGCAGGUGGCUUGUCUGGGAUAAGGUGCCGCCAGGCCUCAUUUACUGCGUGCUCUCCUUUCCUUGCCRGCUUGUCCUACGGUGCUCCUCCAUGAUGCAGCUACAGGCUUUAAGAACGGCCUCCCUGUGAGCUAAAGAAGUACUUUCAACUGAAUAAUGAUGUUAAAAGUGGCAACUAAUUUUGAGUGCCCAAUUUGUCUGUAUCCUGCUACUCCCUAGUGUAGUCAACUGUAUUUCAUGUAGCCCCUUACUUAUUCUGAGCACAGCCAUCACUGUCUCCUCUCUGCAGCUGCAUGUGCCCAAAACUUUUGUGAAUUCAGAGAAUAGAUUUUCUGAACCCAGUAAAAGAGGAACUUCCACUGGCCGUCUUCAGAAAUUUGACUUAAGUGAUUUGUUCAAUUCCCCAUCAGAAUUUUGUUCAGCUAUCUUAGCAAGAAUAUCAUCAUCCUGUCUUUACAAUCACUUAUUCCUCCUAAAAACUUGCAAGCUUCACUGCAAAAAAUGAGGCAGGGUUCUAACAAGAAAAAAAAAAGUCUCAUUGACUUGAAAAAUGAGGGCAUUGUGUUUAUCUUUAUAAAUACAAGACACAUCUCACUUUCUUUUGUUUGCAUUAUCCCACCUGAUUAAAAAGAGUUACACUGAAGGAUACCGUCAAAGAAGGUGCAAACAGAAAACAAUUCAAUCRCCAAAAACAUGAAAUGCAGUGCAAGAGAACACCAAUAGCUCUUGAAGUUAUGGAGGGAAGCUGUUAAUAAGGAAUAUUCUUACCUGUCUCUAGUAACAAUAACAAGGCGUUUAUUGUUCCUACACCUGAAGUAAAACUCAAAAUGGAUGCCAAAACUGUAACAGUUAUUACCCUAAGGAAAGGGUGUUUGAGUAUGGAGUCAACAGCUGGACAUGCUGGUGGCAUCUAGUCAGCAGCCUUUCCCAAACUAGAGAGGGAAGAAACUGGGAUGAAGAGAACCUGCAAACACUGAAAAGAUUAUAAAACAGUUAAGCUCCUGCUGUGAUAUCUUUGCUUUCUGUGCUACGUAUCUCUGGGAGAAUAAAUAAAGUUUUGCUUUGAAGGAGCUGCUACUG
rnacentral:lncRNA from 1 species